UACGUAGGGUGCAAGCGUUAUCCGGAAUUAUUGGGCGUAAAGAGCUCGUAGGCGGUUUGUCGCGUCUGCUGUGAAAGUCCGGGGCUCAACUCCGGAUCUGCGGUGGGUACGGGCAGACUAGAGUGAUGUAGGGGAGACUGGAAUUCCUGGUGUAGCGGUGAAAUGCGCAGAUAUCAGGAGGAACACCGAUGGCGAAGGCAGGUCUCUGGGCAUUAACUGACGCUGAGGAGCGAAAGCAUGGGGAGCGAACAGG
rnacentral:rRNA from 1 species